rnacentral:lncRNA from 1 species
UACUUUCUCUCUCUAGAAUUUUCUCUCUCUAGAUUGUUUCUCUCUCUUGAUGGAUUUCUCUCUCCAAAGUUAUUCCUCUAGAAUUAGCAUAGUGAAAGGCUUCAUUUUGAUGAUUUUGAUCGAGUUUAGGGAAGAGUCUGAUUUUAAGUGAGGUUUUGAUUUUAGAUUUGUUUAGAUUUAAUUUUGAAUUAAAAUUAAUAUAAAAAUAUAAUUUUGG